rnacentral:rRNA from 1 species
GACGUAGGGCGCGAGCGUUGUCCGGAUUUAUUGGGCGUAAAGAGCUCGUAGGCGGCUUAGUAAGUCGGGUGUGAAACCUCCAGGCUCAACCUGGAGACGCCACCCGAUACUGCUGUGGCUAGAGUCCGGUAGGGGAGCGUGGAAUUCCUGGUGUAGCGGUAAAAUGCGCAGAUAUCAGGAGGAACACCAGCGGCGAAGGCGGCGCUCUGGGCCGGUACUGACGCUGAGGAGCGAAAGCGUGGGGAGCAAACAGG